AACCUUUGCUGUCUUGGGACGGAUCACCGCUGCAAGAGGGGAAGUUGCUACUGUGAUGAAUUCUGCCAUGUGGCACCAGACUGCCACCCAGACCACAGUGUCCUCUGCAACCCUGGUAACUCACAUACAGGCCCGAUUCCACCUACAGCAAAGCUGGAUGCGAUGGCUGGCAGAGGCAAACCCUUUGCCUGCACUUCAGGCCAAAGCCGGGAUGUGGCCUAGAUGGUUCCUAAGGUCCCUGACAAUCCUGAGAUCUUGCAUCUUGUCUAUUUCAGGUCAAAGGUGCCUACAUGCUCCUUCUAGCUUUGUUUCCCUGAUGUUCCUUGCCACCUGCUACUCCUCUCUGAGCUACUUUUCCAGCUUCUCAGAUGACCAAGAUGGUGCUGCAGAUGGUGCUGAGGAUGGAGAACCCACCAAGCCCCGCUAGGAGCCACCUAGACUGGAUGCAGAGCAUGGUUCAGUGAGUUCUCCAAACCAGCCUCCCAGGAAUGCCAUUCAACAUGGCUGUGAGGAGAAUAAAGAAGAGAGCCUGACUCCUCUCCUGAGGCCCCUUCCCCACCCUGAGCCAGCAGGAUCCACGGAGCAGAGGUCAUCUGUCCCCAGCUUGGCCCACUGAGGCCAGCAUGGCUGGGCCCAGGAUGCUUGUCUCUCAGCUCCCA
ensembl:lncRNA MUC20-OT1 MUC20 overlapping transcript